UGGGGAAUAUUGGACAAUGGGCGCAAGCCUGAUCCAGCCAUGCCGCGUGUGUGAAGAAGGCCUUUUGGUUGUAAAGCACUUUAAGCGAGGAGGAGGCUACUUGGAUUAAUACUCUAGGAUAGUGGACGUUACUCGCAGAAUAAGCACCGGCUAACUCUGUGCCAGCAGCCGCGGUAAUACAGAGGGUGCGAGCGUUAAUCGGAUUUACUGGGCGUAAAGCGUGCGUAGGCGGCUUUUUAAGUCGGAUGUGAAAUCCCUGAGCUUAACUUAGGAAUUGCAUUCGAUACUGGGAAGCUAGAGCAUGGGAGAGGAUGGUAGAAUUCCAGGUGUAGCGGUGAAAUGCGUAGAGAUCUGGAGGAAUACCGAUGGCGAAGGCAGCCAUCUGGCCUAAUACUGACGCUGAGGUACGAAAGCAUGGGGAGCAAACAGG
rnacentral:rRNA from 2 species